GAGCGGCGGAUGGGUGAGUAACACGUGGGGAACCUGCCCCAUAGUCUGGGAUACCACUUGGAAACAGGUGCUAAUACCGGAUAAGAAAGCAGAUCGCAUGAUCAGCUUAUAAAAGGCGGCGUAAGCUGUCGCUAUGGGAUGGCCCCGCGGUGCAUUAGCUAGUUGGUAAGGUAACGGCUUACCAAGGCAAUGAUGCAUAGCCGAGUUGAGAGACUGAUCGGCCACAUUGGGACUGAGACACGGCCCAAACUCCUACGGGAGGCAGCAGUAGGGAAUCUUCCACAAUGGACGCAAGUCUGAUGGAGCAACGCCGCGUGAGUGAAGAAGGUUUUCGGAUCGUAAAGCUCUGUUGUUGGUGAAGAAGGAUAAAGGCAGUAACUGGCCUUUAUUUGACGGUAAUCAACCAGAAAGUCACGGCUAACUACGUGCCAGCAGCCGCGGUAAUACGUAGGUGGCAAGCGUUGUCCGGAUUUAUUGGGCGUAAAGCGAGCGCAGGCGGAAGAAUAAGUCUGAUGUGAAAGCCCUCGGCUUAACCGAGGAACUGCAUCGGAAACUGUUUUUCUUGAGUGCASAAGAGGAGAGUGGAACUCCAUGUGUAGCGGUGGAAUGCGUAGAUAUAUGGAAGAACACCAGUGGCGAAGGCGGCUCUCUGGUCUGCAACUGACGCUGAGGCUCGAAAGCAUGGGUAGCGAACAGGAUUAGAUACCCUGGUAGUCCAUGCCGUAAACGAUGAGUGCUAAGUGUUGGGAGGUUUCCGCCUCUCAGUGCUGCAGCUAACGCAUUAAGCACUCCGCCUGGGGAGUACGACCGCAAGGUUGAAACUCAAAGGAAUUGACGGGGGCCCGCACAAGCGGUGGAGCAUGUGGUUUAAUUCGAAGCAACGCGAAGAACCUUACCAGGUCUUGACAUCUAGUGCCAUCCUAAGAGAUUAGGAGUUCCCUUCGGGGACGCUAAGACAGGUGGUGCAUGGCUGUCGUCAGCUCGUGUCGUGAGAUGUUGGGUUAAGUCCCGCAACGAGCGCAACCCUUGUUAUUAGUUGCCAGCAUUAAGUUGGGCACUCUAAUGAGACUGCCGGUGACAAACCGGAGGAAGGUGGGGAUGACGUCAAGUCAUCAUGCCCCUUAUGACCUGGGCUACACACGUGCUACAAUGGGCAGUACAACGAGAAGCGAGCCUGCGAAGGCAAGCGAAUCUCUGAAAGCUGUUCUCAGUUCGGACUGCAGUCUGCAACUCGACUGCACGAAGCUGGAAUCGCUAGUAAUCGCGGAUCAGAACGCCGCGGUGAAUACGUUCCCGGGCCUUGUACACACCGCCCGUCACACCAUGGAAGUCUGCAAUGCCCAAAGCCGGUGGCCUAACCUUCGGGA
rnacentral:rRNA from 1 species